AUGCUGCUAUGGAGCAUCGUCGGACCACCGGUGCUUCGAUGAAGCGUCUCCCUUGCUGCUAUGGAGCAUCGCCAGACCACCGGUGAUGCGACGGCUGAGCUGCAACGCAACACCGAUGGCGAAGGUGCGAUACUGCGUGCAUGGACCUCGACGUCAUCGGCGGCGUGGUAGAGCUGCGAUGCAGCACGUGUACUGCUGCGAUGGUGCAUGGACACGAGCUGCACAUGCUGCUAUGCCGGACCACCGGUGCNUGCUAUGGAGCAUCGCUAGACCACCGGUGCUUCAAUGAAGCGGCUCCCCUGCUGCUAUGGAGCAUCGCCGGACCACCGAUGCUUCGAUGCAGCACUCGCCGGAGUUGUUGUCAGAAAUGCAGCUGCAAUGAAGCAUGGCCGGAGUUGCGACGGGCCGCCAGCGCCGCGUUGAAGCUCUGUCGGCGCCGCGUUGGAGUGCGGCCUCACCAGAGUUGGCGGCUGCAAUGGAGCACCCCGUGCUGUUGUUGCUGUCGAGCAUCCAUCCCCGUGCUGCUGUCAAAGAUCCAUCCUCGUGUUGCUGCUCCUGCUGGCAAACUAUCGAUCCAACGGUUGUAAUGGAAGGAUUGAACGGCUGUGCAGUAUCAUCCGCCUGAUCCGUAGCAACGCCCUUUCGCCCUUCGGUGGAUUAUCAUAGUUCCCGUUUGCCCUUUUACUACAUAUAUAUUUUUUGCGGGCACUAUUCUAAUACGAGUAUUUGUUUCACCCCUUCUUUCCAACUUUGCCCAUUUUACUAAAAAAAAAUUGCGGGCACUAUUCUAGUACGAGUAUUUGUUUCACCGCUUCUUUCCAACUUUGCAGCUAAUUUUCCACGACAAAUUAUAAAAUAAUCACAGCACAACACAAUUCAGCAACAGUUCCGAGUUUUAUAGGGCGAGCGGACCAAGCUCUCGUCCAGCUCCUCCCGUGCUAGCCACUCUGGCUACCGCGGCCACCUCCCUGAACUCACCGGC
rnacentral:lncRNA from 1 species